rnacentral:rRNA from 1 species
UACGUAGGGACCAAGCGUUGUCCGGAAUCAUUGGGCGUAAAGGGCGCGCAGGCGGCCCGGAAAGUCGGAUGUGAAAACUCGGGGCUCAACCCCGAGCGUGCACCCGAUACUGCCGGGCUUGAGGCAGGUGAGGGGAGAGUCGGAAUUCCUGGUGGUAGCGGUGAAAUGCGCAGAUAUCAGGAGGAACACCGGUGGCGAAGGCGGAUCUCUGGGCCUGUCCUGACGCUGAGGCGCGAAAGCUAGGGGAGCGAACAGG